GGGGCCGUAGCUCAGUGGAUAGAGCAGCGACCUCCUAAGUCGCGUGUCGGAGGUUCGAUUCCUCUCGGCCCCGC
rnacentral:tRNA from 1 species